CCCCUCUCAGGAUGGUACCUGGAGAGUUUCCAGUAGUCUACCAGUCUCGUCUAUGGGAGGGAAAGUCAAGCAGAGGCAUACCCACUCCAUUCCUAGCUUGGCCAGUGACUAGUGAGUGGAAGGCAAUCUGCUACAAGU